CGUCCCCUGCCCCGCCCCCGGAGCGCGGGCUUCGGGAGACGAGGAGCUGUGGGCGGCUGUGGCCGGCGGGGUGUGGCUGGGCGCUGCGGUCCGCGCGGGGCGGGGCGGGUGGCGGGAGCCGUCACAGGAAAUAAGUGACCAUGGUGCUCGAUAGUUUGGAUAAGAUGAUUCAACUGCAGAAAAGCACUGCAGACAUCAGGAAUAUCUGUGUUUUGGCUCAUGUUGACCACGUUGAAGUACGUGGACAGCAGAGAUGAUGAACAGAUCCGAGGGAGCACUGUGAAAUCCAGUGCCAUUUCACUACAUUGUGCAAAAGGUGAUCUGUUGUCAGACCAGAGUCAGGCUGUCCAGACGUGGGUACAGAUGGGGACCUCUGACUGGCUUGAGGGCAGAAGAACUGGCACUUCACAUCUGCCCCUAUCCACCCAAGGAAUUGCAUAGAUCUCUUCAC